rnacentral:rRNA from 1 species
GACGAACGCUGGCGGCGUGCUUAACACAUGCAAGUCGAACGGUGAAGCGCCUUCCUUUUUGGUGGGUGUGGAUGAGUGGCGAACUGGUGAGUAACACGUGAGUAACCUGCCCCCUUCUUCUGGAUAACCGCAUGAAAGUGUGGCUAAUACGGGAUAUUCUGGGUCUGUCGCAUGAUGGGUCUGGGAAAGAUAUUGUUUCGGUGGGGGAUGGGCUCGCGGCCUAUUAGCUUGUUGGGGGGGUGAUGGACUAACAAGGCGGUGACGGGUCGCCGGGCCGGGAGGAUGGGCGAUACCACGGGUGCGACAAGGCGGACAAGACUACGGCGGGAGGCAGCAGGGAAGAAUGUAGCACGAUGGGAGGAAGGCUGAUGCAGCGACGCGGGGUGAGGGAUGGAGGCCUUGUGGUUGUGAACCUCUUUCGCGAGUGAAGCAGGCCUGCCUCGUUUGUGGGUGGGUUGACGGUAGCUUGAGAAGAAGCGCCGGCUAACUACGUG